rnacentral:rRNA from 1 species
UGGGGAAUUUUUCGCAAUGGGGGAAACCCUGACGAAGCAACGCCGCGUGGGGGAUGAAGGUCUUCGGAUUGUAAACCACUGUCGCGAGGGACGAAGCUCUGACGGUACCUCGAAAGGAAGCACCGGCUAACUCCGUGCCAGCAGCCGCGGUAAUACGGAGGGUGCGAGCGUUGUUCGGAGUUACUGGGCGUAAAGGGUGUGUAGGCGGUGCUCUAAGUGUGGUGUGAAAUCUCCCGGCUCAACUGGGAGGGUGCGCUACGAACUGGAGUGCUCGAGUGCGGGAUGGGAGAGUGGAAUUCCUGGUGUAGCGGUGAAAUGCGUAGAUAUCAGGAGGAACACCGGUGGUGUAGACGGCUCUCUGGACCGCAACUGACGCUGAGACACGAAAGCGUGGGUAGCAAACAGGAUUAGAUACCCUUGUAGUCCCUGAGCGGGCUGGCAAGGCGCAU